rnacentral:lncRNA from 8 species
CAGAAAAUGAAUGGUGAAGUCCAUUCUGGACAUUGUACACUCCUCCUCCUCACCACUCUCUCAUCAGCCUGUGAGGCAGCAUUCAUUUGAUUGGCUGGGAAAGAAUGGGCGGAGUUGGUUAAACAUCAGCCUGUGAGGCAGCAGUGGCGCAAACAUCAGCCUGUGAGGCAGCUGUUCUUCACAGACACCAAAGUCACUUGCGCGACCAACACCAGAGAUAUUAGAAAAGUAUCAAUGCCAGCACCCUCCUUAUUAGGUUUCCCAUGACGCAAUGAGUAUCUGUCAUGGCUGCACACUGAUGUCACUCACAGCACAUGGGUUGAAAUUCACAAAUGUAUACCAUUGAGUUGAAAUAACCUACAUUACAGUAAGGGUAUAUAUUGUCAAUUUACAAUUAUGCCGAUCCCGGUUGGAAACAGUAUUGACUCAUUGUAAGACUGCUGCAAAUCACAUUUUGGGAUGUUGCGGGACGCUGAGAUUCCCGUGCUCCGGGGUUUUCUGAAACCAAGCGGCGAGGCAACUGAAUGGAAGCAGAAUGUUUUCAGCGCUGCAGAGGCGGGUCUCCUGCUGCAGUCCCUGUUUGAUGGGGACUUUGAGGCGGUGGUGCUGAGUCCUCAGGUCCUGGACCUGCAGGGUGGAGGAGACUGCAGCAAUGGAGAGGCCAUUGAUGCCUACCUGGAGAGACUGGUCCUGGCCUACCUCAAUGACCGCACAGAGGAGAACAAUGUUGACUGGUAG